GAGUUGUCUGACCUUCGGGGAACGAUAACGGCGUCGAGCGGCGGACGGGUGAGUAAUGCCUGGGAAAUUGCCCUGAUGUGGGGGAUAACCAUUGGAAACGAUGGCUAAUACCGCAUAAUAGCUUCGGCUCAAAGAGGGGGACCUUCGGGCCUCUCGCGUCAGGAUAUGCCCAGGUGGGAUUAGCUAGUUGGUGAGGUAAGGGCUCACCAAGGCGACGAUCCCUAGCUGGUCUGAGAGGAUGAUCAGCCACACUGGAACUGAGACACGGUCCAGACUCCUACGGGAGGCAGCAGUGGGGAAUAUUGCACAAUGGGCGCAAGCCUGAUGCAGCCAUGCCGCGUGUAUGAAGAAGGCCUUCGGGUUGUAAAGUACUUUCAGCAGUGAGGAAGGUGGUGUACUUAAUACGUGCAUCAUUUGACGUUAGCUGCAGAAGAAGCACCGGCUAACUCCGUGCCAGCAGCCGCGGUAAUACGGAGGGUGCGAGCGUUAAUCGGAAUUACUGGGCGUAAAGCGCAUGCAGGUGGUUUGUUAAGUCAGAUGUGAAAGCCCGGGGCUCAACCUCGGAAUUGCAUUUGAAACUGGCAGACUAGAGUACUGUAGAGGGGGGUAGAAUUUCAGGUGUAGCGGUGAAAUGCGUAGAGAUCUGAAGGAAUACCGGUGGCGAAGGCGGCCCCCUGGACAGAUACUGACACUCAGAUGCGAAAGCGUGGGGAGCAAACAGGAUUAGAUACCC
rnacentral:rRNA from 1 species